GCUUCACAGUUUGAAUGCUCUUGCGUGAAUGGCGGCGUGUGUGGUGAGAGAGUGUUUGGAUGAGUGAAUGUGACGUGUUUGUUUGUGUGUGUGAGUGUUUAUAUUUCUAUAAAAAACUACACAGUGAUCUUAUUUGAUCUGGUCAGAGUGUGGCUCUGCGCUGAUCGGAGAUGAUAGUAAAAACGCGCUCUGUAGCCUCAGAGGCGAUGAGCAGCAGCGAGAUGAUAACCUGCAGGGCCUCCACGCUUCGUGUUGUGGAUAGAGGUGAUGAUUUGAUCAGAUAUACUAGUUCUGGUGGAGUUUGGGUUUCAUCUCAAGCUUCACAAUGGACAAUGAGUAUAUAAGCGAUUCUGAUCUAA